GCCGUCCUUUCUCUGUGCCGGCUCGGUGGCUGUUUUGUCGUUGUGCUCCGCAGAUUUUUUUGUCGAAUCGCCGGACAAGAGAAGAAGGGAAAAAAGAAGACGCUGGGGAUCCGUCGAAUGGCGGUCGGCGCUGCGUGUUUCCUUUCCUUUUGGUCGAUCGCGCCGCAUAGUCGGCCGCAAAGCCCGACAUAAAAAAAAGACGCGCCACAAGAGGCACGCGGCGCCGACUCAGAGACCAAUAGAAUACAGGA
rnacentral:lncRNA from 1 species